rnacentral:rRNA from 1 species
UACGUAGGGUGCGAGCGUUAAUCGGAAUUACUGGGCGUAAAGCGUGCGCAGGCGGUUUGCUAAGACCGAUGUGAAAUCCCCGGGCUCAACCUGGGAACUGCAUUGGUGACUGGCAGGCUAGAGUAUGGCAGAGGGGGGUAGAAUUCCACGUGUAGCAGUGAAAUGCGUAGAGAUGUGGAGGAAUACCGAUGGCGAAGGCAGCCCCCUGGGCCAAUACUGACGCUCAUGCACGAAAGCGUGGGGAGCAAACAGGAUUAGAUACCCUGGUAGU